UCCAAAGGCACAGCUUCUUCUUGGCUCUCUCUCUCUCUCUCUCUCGGCCAUUUUGGCUUUCUUCAGUUCUGUCACUGAACUCAAUCAGUGCUACCCUAGAGAUUUUAUCCAACUGAGAUUGGAGAUUGGAGAUCGGAUAUUUGAGUGGAGGAAUUCCGUUUCACUCAUUCGCCGCUGGAAAUAGGUGAACCCUACUACUACUCAAGAAAAAUCAAUAGCCACAUUCUCUCUGCAACUUGAAGACAUUUAGAAAAUGGUCAACAAACCAUGGCGGAUUUUUCCGAGGCCACUGCUGGAAACUGUGUUAAACAAUCACGCUAACCAUCCCCGAGUUCAUCAGUCUCUUAUCUUCCAUGGUCCCAGAGGCGUUGGCAAAACCACUCUCAUUCUCGAACGUCUUCUUGGAGACUGGAACAAAGGCCCUCACUUCACUGGUUACGUAGACUUCGCCGAAUGCAUCAAAGAUCAUCACCCACGACACGGGGAGUCGUUUCCAUGGACUUCUUGGUCCAAUUGCCCGAAACCCAACUUGUCCGAAUGCAGAACCAAGCUCGAAGAGUGCCUAGAAUCCAUGGCUUACCAGGGCGUUAAGCUUGGCACUAUAAGCUCCCAACAAAUUUUUUCGACCCUUAACAAAUGGCAUGGCCUUAGUACAGCACUUAGACGAAUCAUUGGAAGCAAUAAUUCUCCAAAGGCCGCCAUUUCGGAGAAGGUUUCCAAAUCGGUUUUGUGGGAUCGGGCGCUUUUCGCCCAAUCUGCUCGAUAUAAUGCCAAAGAGAUUGAUGGGGUUUUGAGUUUGGACGAGAAAGUGAAGAGUUUGUCCAUAGAAGAGGCUUCCUACUAUAGGGAGGCAGUUGUGGCUCUGAGAUUGGCAAAGGAGGUUAUUAAGGUUCAGCAAGAUUGGAGAGCCAAUGCCAUUGCCCAUUUGAAUCAGACAGGUGGGUUUUCGAGGUCUUUAGCUAACUCGUGUACUGACUGGCCUUGCCUCUUGUUGGAAUUGUUGUCAAUGGCUGCUGAAAUUGAUCACUUUCAGCCAAAACUGGUUAUCAAUAACAUUGAGGUCUUACGAAAUGCAAUUCUAAAGGAUGGAGAGUCGUCAGUGUCUGGACCUAUGUAUCAUGAUAGUCUGAUAUGGAGAAUUAUUGCUUUAGGUGCAAAUGAGAAGACUCUCCCUGUCAUAUUUGUGACAUCUGAUAGUUACUAUUCAUAUCGAGCUUUUUUGGAUUUCGGAUUUAUAGACAUAUUUAUCUCCCGCGAGAAUUUUGGAUGGACUACCCAAGAAGCUCACAUGCAUAUGGUUGAUGAUUAUUUCAGUAAUUCAGAGUGGAGAAUAAUUGCAGAGGUGCUCGGUCCAAAUCCACGACAUCUUUUUGAGCUAUAUGCUCUUAAACAAAGUAAUCACCAUUCGAAGAUAAUGGGCGACAGAGCUAUGUCAUUUGAGGAUAUUGUAGAUUCAUAUUUAGCCUAUUUGCAACUAAAUGUGGUGAAUCCUGCUAUGGAUAGAGCAUUGGAAUUGCUGCAGAAGUUUGCUGCUGAUGCCCGAAGUGGAAAAAUUUCGGAAGAUAAAUUACGGUUUGGUGCGCCUUGGAGGCAUCCUCCACAAAAGAAUGAUGCCACUAUGCGGUUUGAGUGGGCAAAGAUUCAGCUGAUGGAUUUUUUGAUGUCUCUAGUCAAGGCUGAUUUCGGGCUUAAUUAUAUGGCUGAUUGGAGCCUGGAAAUCUUUGAAGAUCCUUGUGCUGCUGCAUUAAUAGAGGUUGGUUUGCUCUAUAGCCAACGAGAUCCAUCUUUCAUUCGCCCUGUAUCAAGAGGAAUUGAGAGGUGUCUUGUUAGAUGGCUUGUCCUAGAGCGGAUUCAAAUGAGUUAUCAGAAGAUAGUUCGGUACCGGUGGCAACGACUAGCACGAGGUCGCAGCUAUCGUCAUUUGUUGCUGCAACUGGGCUAUAAAUAUUGAAAUAGUUAGACUAGGUUUCUAUUGGCAAAGUGAGGUUUCUCAUUGAGGUUUACAUAGAUAUCAUGCGAAGAGUGGUAACAACUACACAGAUCGAUCACAAUGAAUAUCGUAAGAAUUUUUUUACUCAGCUUCCAACAGAGUUAAGUUAUUAGUAGCCAUUCUGAUUAGUUGAGGUUCAUCAUCUUUUCACAUACACAAAAAUACAUUACUCAUGUCAAAAUUUGUAUCAAAAUAAUGUUCGACAGAAAAAUGAGCUCCCCCUCGCCCCUAGUUGUUGGGUGAGUUUAUAUGUGGAAUUCAAUACAAGGGGUGAUUUUCCCUUGCGUAACUCCCUGUUAAAAUGGCGUCGAGCAAACCCUAAGUCUCACGCUUUUGAAGAUUGAUAUGAAGACAAUACUCUAAGGCAAAAUUAGUUUUGGUAUUAGAGGGUGAGAUCUGUUCCAAAUAACUCAUGGCUGAUUUUUGAGGAAUUCUCGUAUUGGUAUUGGGGUUUGUAAGAAUUUCAUACUUCAUUUUCCAAAGAUGUAUAGUGGAAGCACUCUUGAAACUUAUUCUUUAAUUGGUUACUCAUGAAUGAUGCAAUAAGAGUAAUGGUUUUUUUUUUUUUUUUCAA